rnacentral:rRNA from 1 species
UACAGAGGGGGCAAGCGUUGUUCGGAAUUACUGGGCGUAAAGGGCGCGUAGGCGGCCCGCUAAGUCGAACGUGAAAUCCCCGAGCUCAACUCGGGAACUGCGUCCGAUACUGGUGGGCUUGAAUCCGGGAGAGGGAUGCGGAAUUCCAGGUGUAGCGGUGAAAUGCGUAGAUAUCUGGAGGAACACCGGUGGCGAAGGCGGCAUCCUGGACCAACACUGACGCUGAGGCGCGAAAGCCAGGGGAGCAAACGGG